UACAGAGGGGGCGAAGCGUUGUUCGGAAUUACUGGGCGUAAAGGGCGCGUAGGCGGCCUGUUAAGUCGAACGUGAAAUCCCCGGGCUCAACCCGGGACUGCGUCCGAUACUGGCAGGCUUGAAUUCGGGAGAGGGAUGCGGAAUUCCAGGUGUAGCGGUGAAAUGCGUAGAUAUCUGGAGGAACACCGGUGGCGAAGGCGGCAUCCUGGACCGGCAUUGACGCUGAGGCGCGAAAGCCAGGGGAGCAAACGGG
rnacentral:rRNA from 1 species